GCGAGAAGAUUUCAUGCUGUGACUCUCUGGAGGGAAGCGCUUUCUGUUGUCUGAAAGAAAACAAAGCGCUUCUCUUUAGAGAGUUACGGUUUGAGAAAAGC
ensembl:miRNA MIR518C microRNA 518c